rnacentral:rRNA from 1 species
UCGAGCGGACAGAAGGGAGCUUGCUCCCGGAUGUUAGCGGCGGACGGGUGAGUAACACGUGGGUAACCUGCCUGUAAGACUGGGAUAACUCCGGGAAACCGGAGCUAAUACCGGAUAGUUCCUUGAACCGCAUGGUUCAAGGAUGAAAGACGGUUUCGGCUGUCACUUACAGAUGGACCCGCGGCGCAUUAGCUAGUUGGUGAGGUAACGGCUCACCAAGGCGACGAUGCGUAGCCGACCUGAGAGGGUGAUCGGCCACACUGGGACUGAGACACGGCCCAGACUCCUACGGGAGGCAGCAGUAGGGAAUCUUCCGCAAUGGACGAAAGUCUGACGGAGCAACGCCGCGUGAGUGAUGAAGGUUUUCGGAUCGUAAAGCUCUGUUGUUAGGGAAGAACAAGUGCAAGAGUAACUGCUUGCACCUUGACGGUACCUAACCAGAAAGCCACGGCUAACUACGUGCCAGCAGCCGCGGUAAUACGUAGGUGGCAAGCGUUGUCCGGAAUUAUUGGGCGUAAAGGGCUCGCAGGCGGUUUCUUAAGUCUGAUGUGAAAGCCCCCGGCUCAACCGGGGAGGGUCAUUGGAAACUGGGAAACUUGAGUGCAGAAGAGGAGAGUGGAAUUCCACGUGUAGCGGUGAAAUGCGUAGAGAUGUGGAGGAACACCAGUGGCGAAGGCGACUCUCUGGUCUGUAACUGACGCUGAGGAGCGAAAGCGUGGGGAGCGAACAGGAUUAGAUACCCUGGUAGUCCACGCCGUAAACGAUGAGUGCUAAGUGUUAGGGGGUUUCCGCCCCUUAGUGCUGCAGCUAACGCAUUAAGCACUCCGCCUGGGGAGUACGGUCGCAAGACUGAAACUCAAAGGAAUUGACGGGGGCCCGCACAAGCGGUGGAGCAUGUGGUUUAAUUCGAAGCAACGCGAAGAACCUUACCAGGGCUUGACAUCCUCUGACAACCCUAGAGAUAGGGCUUUCCCUUCGGGAACAGAAUGACAGGUGGUGCAUGUUUGUCCUCACCUCCGGCCGGAGAAUCUUGGGUUAAAUCCCGCAACC